AGUGAACGCUGGCGGUAGGCCUAACACAUGCAAGUCGAACGGCAGCACAGUAAGAGCUUGCUCUUACGGGUGGCGAGUGGCGGACGAGUGCGGAAUACAUCGGAAUCUACUUUUUCGUGGGGGAUAACGUAGGGAAACUUACGCUAAUACCGCAUACGACCUACGGGUGAAAGCAUGGGAUCUUCGGACCUUGCGCGAUUGUAUGAGCCGAUGUCGGAUUAGCUAGUUGGCGGGGUAAAGGCCCACCAAGGCGACGAUCCGUAGCUGGUCUGAGAGGAUGAUCAGCCACACUGGAACUGAGACACGGUCCAGACUCCUAUGGGAGGCAGCAGUGGGGAAUAUUGGACAAUGGGCGCAAGCCUGAUCCAGCCAUACCGCGUGGGUGAAGAAGGCCUUCGGGUUGUAAAGCCCUUUUGUUGGGAAAGAAAAGCAGCAGGUUAAUACCCCGCUGUUCUGACGGUACCCAAAGAAUAAGCACCGGCUAACUUCGUG
rnacentral:rRNA from 1 species